rnacentral:rRNA from 1 species
GAUGAACGCUAGCUACAGGCUUAACACAUGCAAGUCGAGGGGUAACGAGAGGAAAGCUUGCUUUCCUUGUCGACGACCGGCGCACGGGUGAGUAACGCGUAUCCAACCUGCCCCCAACUAGGGAAUAACCUUGCGAAAGUAAGACUAAUACCCUAUAAUUUCCUCAGAUGUCAUCUGACGAGGAAUAAAGAUUUAUCGGUUGUGGAUGGGGAUGCGUGUGAUUACCUUGUUGGCGGGGUAACGGCCCACCAAGGCAACGAUCAGUAGGGGUUCUGAGAGGAAGGUCCCCCACAUUGGAACUGAGACACGGUCCAAACUCCUACGGGAGGCAGCAGUGAGGAAUAUUGGUCAAUGGGCGGAAGCCUGAACCAGCCAAGUAGCGUGCAGGAUGACGGCCCUACGGGUUGUAAACUGCUUUUAUACAGGAAUAAAGUUAGCCACGUGUGGUUAUUUGUAGGUACUGUAUGAAUAAGGACCGGCUAAUUCCGUGCCAGCCGCCGCAGUAA